CCUAAUCUGCAGAUGUUGUGAAGGAGGACCAAGAAGUACCCCCACCCUCAUAAUAAUGAUCCUAGCUGAGAGGCUAGAAGCUGGCCUGGAAGUCCCUGUGCCCGGAAGAACUUCCUACUGCCAGAUGGCUCCAUCAUCCACCAAGAUCACCAAAACAGACCUGGGAGUCAUCCUCUUAUUCUCUCCAGCCUUGUGUGCUCCCAGCUGACCUUCUGCUCGACAUCGUUUCUUCUCAUCUGCAUGACUUCUACCCAUCCUUCAAGUCACAGCCUAAACUUGCGUUCUCCAGCACCCCUGGUGAGAUCCAUACCUUCCCUCACACGCGCCACCUGCAACUGGAUGUUCUUCUCACAGCCUAGAGAACCUGUACUUUAUCCCAACAGUCAUUGUCCUGUAAUGGGCUGCUUCUUCAGUUCUGACUCCUCCCCAAGUCUGAAAUUUCAGACAAAGCUUACACCCUCCUAGAAUAGUACAUGCCUCCACCAUGGUCCCGGGCACGUGGUAAACACCAAGAAAUCACUGCAUGGUUGGUGCACUGCCAACUCCGACUUUCCCAUCAGUGCCUUUGUGGGAUCAUUUGGGGAAAGCUUCUGCCAAGGCGACUUCUGCUUUUGUCAAAGGAUUGCAGCCCUAAGAUAACUUGUUAGAGUUCCCCUUGUGUGUUUGAUACAUUUUAAA